rnacentral:rRNA from 1 species
GACGAACGCUGGCGGCAUGCUUAAUACAUGCAAGUCUAACGACUGGCGGACGGGUGAGUCAUGCUUGGGAAUUUGCCUUAUCGAGGGGGAUAACUACGGGAAACUGUAGCCAUCACCGCGCACCAUAAGAUGAGCCCAUGUUGGAUUGGGUAUUUGGUGGGGUAAUGGCCUACAAAGCCGACGAUCUCUAACUGGUCCGAGAGGAUGACCAGCCACACUGGAACUGAUACACGGCCCAGACUCCUACGUGUGGCAGCAGUGGGGAAUCUUGCGCAAUGGGUGAAACCUGACGCAGCGAUGCCGGGUGAGUGAAGAAGGCAUUCGGGUUGAAAAGUUCUCUAGGUGACGGGGCGUUAAUCACAGAGGAAGCACCGGCUAAAUCCGUGCCAGCAGCCGCGGUAAUUC